UGAGAUCUGAUGGUUUUAAAAAGCAAAGUUUCCCUGCACAAGCUGUCUUCUCUCGUCUGCCACCAUGUGAGAUGGGUCUUUCACCUUCUGCCAUGAUUGUGAGGCCUCCCCAGCCACAUGGAACCGCUGGAAUGAGGCUGUGAGGCUCCAGCAGCCGUUUUGUGCCACGAGGCAGUAGAAACCUGGGUUCCUGAUGACUGUGGAGCUGCCGAACUAAUCUGGACCUCCAGAUUCCAUACCUGCAAGACACAUGAACAUCUGUCUUAUGUGGAACUGGAAGUGCUGGAGAUGAGCUGCUGUGGCUGUAUGGACAAAGGCAAGAUCCUAUGGGAUGGCCAAGCAACCAGACAGAAGAACUCUUGAGACCUUGAGGAAAAGAACUGCCCGCAACUGCUCUUGACACUCUCUCCCUCUGGCCUGUUGUGUGGGAGAGAAAUAA
rnacentral:lncRNA from 1 species